CGCCCUCGUCCUCUUCUUCGCCAGCGCCGCACGCCACGGUCGUCGUCGAUCCACUGGCCCUCGAACCUCCCUGGCCCCAUCGACCCCUCCACGAGCUCCUUGACCUCGAGACCGUUGCCGUUACCCCCGUAAUCGACUGCAUCGACGACGACUCCUUGCCAGAGCAACUAGUUCCCUUGGUGCAACUUCGGCCAUACACUCCAUCCACUAGAGGUCUCCAUGAUUGAUGCUCCCUGAUAUCUCUCUACCUGCAUGCCCUGGUGCAGAGUAUGCAAUGUUUUGGAAUCCGCAUAUGAAAUUGGUUGAACUAUUGAUUUGAUUUGACUAUCCAUGCAUAUAUAGGACUAUAGUUGAGUAAUUAGUCUCCAACUAUUCCAUGUUCCAGUCGACCUAAUACUGAUUUUUGUGUUGCUGUUUGUAAUCUUGAAUUUUGAUUCAAGAUUGUAAGAAUACAACUUAUGGAAGAUUAUGUGUCUUUUGUAAUUUCUCACCACUAUGAGGCUCCCUUAGGUUAGAGAUAAUAUUAAAUAAUAACAUUGCUCCAUAAUGUGAGGUAACUCAAAGAAUAAGUAUUUUUCAUGUAUGUUUUGGAAAGUGCUGCGUCAUUUCUUUAGCAUCAUGACAUACAUGAAAAAUACUUUUAGA